GGCGUGCAGGACCCAGGGGCAGGCUCGCACACAGGGUGCUCGGUGUACCCAUGCUGCACUGGUCCCGCUGCACUGGCCAUUGGUCCCUUAGAUCACGAUGGAGGGUGGCAGAUGAUUAUUCACACAAGAGAAACUAUUCAGUAUUUACACAUGUGGAAAUCUGGAAUCUUAAAUGUUCUAAAAUAUGAAGCAGUUUGGGUGAUGAUACAACAAUAGAAGUUGAAAGUUCCACACCUGGCUUCAUGUGAUGGAUCGUGGUCUAAAACAUGCACACCAAAAUUAUUGCAUAAAAUUAUCUUCAGGCUAUGUGUAUAAGCAUUCUCUUCAAGCCUGUCCUCCACUAUCUCCUCUACCACGAAAUAAAUAAAGCCUCCAUCUACAACAGCAACUGCACACAGUUCUUGCCAUCAUUGAGUUUCACCUGUGAACCCCAGCCAUGUGACAGCUGCAAGGAACCUGAGAGAUUCCCCAACCUGACCAUUUCAGGGUAAAAGGGAGGAGAGGGAAAGUGAGAGAUUCACAUAGUAAUACCACAGUCACUGCCAAGGAGCCACAACACCCAU
rnacentral:lncRNA from 1 species